rnacentral:lncRNA from 1 species
GGGGGGAGGAAGGAGGGCAAAGACGGUGAUAAGGCACAUGUGUGUGGUGACGGAUUAUAAUUAGUCUUUGGGUGGUGAACAUGAUGUAAUCUACACAGAAUUUGAAAUAUAUUAUGAUAUACAUCUGAAAGUUAUAUAAUGUUAUAAUCCAAUUUUACUACUGUAAAAACAAAAAUUAAAACUAAAAAAGAGUAAAGAAAAUGGAAAAAAGAAAAAAGAAAUCUGAUUAAAAAGUUGGAAAAUAAGAAGAAAACUCAUCUAAAGACCCCAGAAUCAUUUAGCUCAGGGAAAAACAGAGGUGGUUCUGAAUUGAUGGUAGCUGGCAUUCCUGUCUUCACAGGAAGCACAUGUUAUUCACAUGAAGGAAAAUGUGAACGUUAAGGAACUUGUUGAGAUGGGAGAGAUUCCCAAAGGUCAUGGAAGCUGAAGGUUGAAAAAGCAAACAGAAAAAAAAAAACCCCACAUUUUAUCCAGCUUAGAAAUAAGCAGGAAACUCAGAGAACUUGUUCUUGACAAUAAGACCUCAGUAAUAAUACUGAAUAGAAAUUCAACCAAGUGGAUCUGACAGAAGCGAAGGCAGACAUCCAGGAGAUUCUUGUGAUUCAUCCCUCUCUUGACUCCUGGUAUUUGGCUAAUCCUCCUGAAAGUCCCAAGCUUGCAAAUCAGCCCCCGCUACAAGAUCUGUCUCUACACAUCACAGUAUUGACUUUUGUGGGGCUUUUCAACAAUGAGUUUGGUUAAAAAUAUUUAAAACGACGAAGAGUCAUUGGAGAGUCUCAUAUUAUGCUGCGUACGUGUUCUUCACGUUAACAUCAUUUCCCUCGAGCCCUUCCCCUCAUCAGGACUCACCUCCUGAUCAGAGAGAAACUGCUUGGCUGUGUAGCCCUGAGAGUUUGGUUCCCAGAAGACAGAUGCUGGUCUCCGAGUUCUGGAACUUUCGACCUGUGUGACCUUGGGCUUCUGAACCUCAGUCUACUCAUCUGCAACAGGAUACUCACUUCACAAGGUCUCUUAAGUUACAAACUUUGCUGAACAUCUAACAUGGACUGGAUAGAUGCUAAUGAGUCUUAGUGUCGGAAACAACUUCAUGAGUCAAAGGAAUGAAGUCAUAAUGCUGGCAACUAACUACUGUAUCCAGAUAAGUUCCUGCUGACACUACUGUGAUGCCUGCCAGAGAAACUGUCUAAUGUCACAUUAACGCAGCAAAAAUGAUGAACAAUCCCUGCUCCAAGGCCUCCUUCACUCAAGGCUCCAGUGGCAUGUUGACUCUUGGCAUUUACACUUGUUUGCUUAUUGAACGGUGUCAGGUUUCUAUGGCUCCGAGUGCUGGCUCACAUUACAGUCAAGUGGAAGCAAGAAAAUUCAGCAGGUCACAUUUCAUGGAUUGGAAACUGCUGUCUAAAGCAAGGUGUUGAGAAAGAUUCAGAACCUCUUUCACACCCGCUCGGAAAGAGUGCUGUGAUGGAUUGGAGAUGUCUGCUAUGAGCUCUGGAGAGGCAGCUGGUGGCACACAUGCUGAGGAG